GACGAACCGAGCGAACGUUGUUCGGAAUCACUGGGCUUAAAGGGCGCGUAGGCGGGCUCUCAAGUCCGGGGUGAAAUCCCACAGCUCAACUGUGGAACUGCCUCGGAUACUGUGAGUCUCGAGGGUGGUAGGGGUAUGCGGAACUAUCGGUGGAGCGGUGAAAUGCGUUGAUAUCGAUAGGAACUCCGGUGGCGAAGGCGGCAUACUGGACCACAUCUGACGCUGAGGCGCGAAAGCCAGGGGAGCAAACGGG
rnacentral:rRNA from 1 species